rnacentral:rRNA from 1 species
UACAGAGGUCUCAAGCGUUGUUCGGAUUCAUUGGGCGUAAAGGGCGCGUAGGCUGCGGGGCAAGUCGGGUGUGAAAUCUCGGAGCUUAACUCCGAAACUGCAUUCGAUACUGCCGUGCUUGAGGACUGGAGAGGAGACUGGAAUUUACGGUGUAGCAGUGAAAUGCGUAGAUAUCGUAAGGAAGACCAGUGGCGAAGGCGGGUCUCUGGACAGUUCCUGACGCUGAGGCACGAAGGCCAGGGGAGCAAACGGG